GAGACUUUAUAAGAAAGCUGUUAAUCGAAGAUCAUGUAAAAAAGGUCAUGAAAUAAGCUGAUAUGGUUUAGACGAGGAACGUGAUCGAAGAGAGGAGUAAUUUAUUGGAAUUGGAAGACGCGCCAGGUAUAAUCGGUGAAAAAGGUCAAAAUCCAUACCCAUCUUGUAAUGCCAAUCUGGCUUUUGAGAAGUUAGCGGCUUGGUACGUAGCUGAACUAACCAGAAACCAGUAUACUGCAUUAACUCAAAAAGCUGGGAUUGGGUAAUUCCACGGGGAAACGAAAAAAUGCCACAGUUCCAUGAAAUCCAAACUAUGUUAUACAUUAUAUACAACAUUUGUUCCGAUGAAAAUGAAGUCAUGGGUUUUUGAUCAGGCGAAGGGAGUUGAAGCGGGCAUGGUAAGGGAAUACUGGUAUACUGAGCUAAAAAUAUACAAAUAAAGGAUAAAGUUAAAGCACAAUCAGGAUUUAAAAACAUUUUCUCUUUACUUCUGAUACAUACAGGAAUGCCAGAAAUAGUCACAGAGGCAUUUAACUCCAUCACCUGAGAAAAAAAGUUGCUAUAAAAAUGUCCUGUUUCAUUGUCACUAUGAGAUAAGUCGGAUUUCGAAUUGCCCAUUGAUAAUUUUGAAAGUCUAU